AGUGAACGCUGGCGGUAGGCCUAACACAUGCAAGUCGAACGGCAGCACAGUAAGAGCUUGCUCUUACGGGUGGCGAGUGGCAGACGGGUGAGGAAUACAUCGGAAUCUACUUUUUCGUGGGGGAUAACGUAGGGAAACUUACGCUAAUACCGCAUACGACCUACGGGUGAAAGCAGGGGAUCUUCGGACCUUGCGCGAUUGAAUGAGCCGAUGUCGGAUUAGCUAGUUGGCGGGGUAAAGGCCCACCAAGGCGACGAUCCGUAGCUGGUCUGAGAGGAUGAUCAGCCACACUGGAACUGAGACACGGUCCAGACUCCUACGGGAGGCAGCAGUGGGGAAUAUUGGACAAUGGGCGAAAGCCUGAUCCAGCCAUACCGCGUGGGUGAAGAAGGCCUUCGGGUUGUAAAGCCCUUUUGUUGGGAAAGAAAAGCAGCAGGUUAAUACCCCGCUGUUCUGACGGUACCCAAAGAAUAAGCACCGGCUAACUUCGUG
rnacentral:rRNA from 1 species